CAAGGACCAAAGGGCCAGCACCGAAGGAGCCACAGGGCAGCGCCCGCGGCUCCCCAGCCUUAACCUCACCGAGCCCAGCAGCGGGAGCCGAGCAAGCGUUCCCGCGGGUCCCGGAGGCUGAGGCUUCUAAACUACCACCCAGAAAGAACACAACAUGACGUUCUAGGAAUAAGAAGCAUUACACAAGAGAAAGAAGAAAGGAACAGAGGACAUACAAAACUGCCAGAAAACAAUGAACAAAAUGGCAAGACUUAGAGUGCUUCCAAUUUUCCACGACUAAAACCAUGCUGCAGUGAACUUCUCCGUGUAUGUCUCCUUACACGUCUGUACAAGGCUUCCUCGGGCCAGGGACCUGAUGCAGAACAGUGAGACACCGUGGCGUUUGCCCAGCCUCGGCUUUACUAAACAUGGCCAAAUGGCCCUUCAAAAGCAAUUGUGUCGGAGAAGAACAUGUUUCCUCUGCACCAAAUCUUUUAAAAAGCCUCCUACGGCGCUUCUAGGUUGCCUUGUUUCACUCGCUGUGUUCAAAUGCAUUUUCUGAUCCUUUUGUCCUUCCACAUAUAUGUCCAGGUGAGGGCAGCCAGCGAGAGAAUGACUAUGGUUUUCUGUGGGGGAGCUGGAAAGGCUGGGAACCAUGGCACGGGCAGCAGAGACAGAGAAGUGGGGGGCGAUGCAAGAGCUAUUUCUUUUUUUAAAAAUUUUUAAAAGAUUUUAUUUAUUUAUUUGUCAGAGAGAGAGAGACAGAGAGCACAA